GCUGCCGGCAGGCUUAACACAUGCAAGUCGAACGGUAGCAGGAAGAAGCUUGCUUCUUUGCUGACGAGUGGCGGACGGGUGAGUAAUGCUUGGGAAUCUGGCUUAUGGAGGGGGAUAACUACUGGAAACGGUAGCUAAUACCGCGUAAUGUCUUUGGACUAAAGGGUGGGACCGUAAGGCCACCUGCCAUAAGAUGAGCCCAAGUGGGAUUAGGUAGUUGGUGAGGUAAAGGCUCACCAAGCCCGCGAUCUCUAGCUGGUCUGAGAGGAUGACCAGCCACACUGGAACUGAGACACGGUCCAGACUCCUACGGGAGGCAGCAGUGGGGAAUAUUGCACAAUGGGGGGAACCCUGAUGCAGCCAUGCCGCGUGAAUGAAGAAGGCCUUCGGGUUGUAAAGUUCUUUCGGUGACGAGGAAGGCGAUUGUUUUAAUAGAACAGUCGAUUGACGUUAAUCACAGAAGAAGCACCGGCUAACUCCGUGCCAGCAGCCGCGGUAAUACGGGGGGUGCGAGCGUUAAUCGGAAUAACUGGGCGUAAAGGGCACGCAGGCGGAUAGUUAAGUGAGAUGUGAAAGCCCCGGGCUUAACCUGGGAAUUGCAUUUCAGACUGGCUAUCUAGAGUAUUUUAGGGAGGGGUAGAAUUCCACGUGUAGCGGUGAAAUGCGUAGAGAUGUGGAGGAAUACCGAAGGCGAAGGCAGCCCCUUGGGAAUAUACUGACGCUCAUGUGCGAAAGCGUGGGAGCA
rnacentral:rRNA from 1 species